CCCUUAGAUGUUCUAGGCCGCACGCGCGCUACACUGAUGCAUUCAACGAGUCUAAAACCUGCUCUGAUAGGGGUGGGUAAUCUUUUGAAUGUGCAUCGUGAUUGGGAUAGAUGAUUGCAAUUUUUCAUCUUCAACGAGGAAUGCCUAGUAAACGCAAGUCAUCAGCUUGCAUUGAUUACGUCCCUGCCCUUUGUACACACCGCCCGUCGCUCCUACCGAUUGAAUGAUCCGAUGAAUAUCAUGGAUUGAGGAUGCAAGUAGGUUAGCCUAUCUUCAUCUUCGAGAAGUGAAGUAAAUCUUAUCAUUUAGAGGAAGGAGAAGUCGUAACA
rnacentral:rRNA from 1 species